CCUACGGGUGGCAGCAGUGGGGAAUAUUGCACAAUGGGGGAAACCCUGAUGCAGCGACGCCGCGUGAGUGAAGAAGUAUUUCGGUAUGUAAAGCUCUAUCAGCAGGGAAGAAAAUGACGGUACCUGAUUAAGAAGCCCCGGCUAACUACGUGCCAGCAGCCGCGGUAAUACGUAGGGGGCAAGCGUUAUCCGGAUUUACUGGGUGUAAGGGGAGCGUAGACGGCAGCACAAGUCUGGAGUGAAAUGCCGGGGCUUAACCCCGGAACUGCUUUGGAAACUGUGCAGCUGGAGUGCAGGAGAGGAAAGUGGAAUUCCUGGUGUAGCGGUGAAAUGCGUGGAUAUAGGAGGAACACCAGUGGCGAAGGCGGCUUACUGGACUGUAACUGACGUUGAGGCUCGAAAGCGUGGGGAGCAAACAGGAUUAGAUACCCUAGUAGUC
rnacentral:rRNA from 1 species